rnacentral:rRNA from 2 species
UUUGACCUCAAAUCAGGUGGGACUACCCGCUGAACUUAAGCA